rnacentral:rRNA from 1 species
AGCUUCGGCCAUCCGGCGAGGGAUGGGCCCGCGGUGCAUUAGCUAGUUGGUGGGGUAACGGCCCACCAAGGCGACGAUGCAUAGCUGGUCUGAGAGGAUGAUCAGCCACACUGGGACUGAGACACGGCCCAGACUCCUACGGGAGGCAGCAGUCGGGAAUCUUGCGCAAUGGGCGAAAGCCUGACGCAGCAACACCGUGUGAGCGACGAAGGCCUUCGGGUCGUAAAGCUCUGUUGUUGGGGACGAAGGGCGAAGGGUUAAUAGCCC